GAUGAACGCUGGCGGCGUGCCUAAUACAUGCAAGUCGAGCGAACAACCGAAGAUCUUGCUCCUCUGACCUUAGCGUCGUACGAGUGAGUAGCACGUGGGUAACCUACCUAUAAGACUGGGAUAACUUCGGGAAACCGAAGCUAAUACAGGGUAAUAUAUUGAACCACAUGCUUCAAUAAUCAAAUACGGUUUUGCUAUCACUUAUAGAUGGAUCCGCGCCGCAUUAGCUAGUUGGUAAGGUAACGGCUUAACAAGGCCACCAUGCGUAGCCGACAUGAGCGCGUGAUUGGCUAGACGAGAACUGAGAGAGGGUGCCGACACCGACGGGAGGCAGCAGUAGGGAAUCUUCCGCAAUGGGCGAAAGGCGGACGGAGCAACGCCGCGGGAGUGAUGAAGGUCUGAGGAUCGUAAAACUAUGUUAUUAGGGAAGAUCAAAUGUGUAAGUAACUAUGCACGUCUUGACGGUACCUAAUCAGAAAGCAACGGCUAAAUACGUG
rnacentral:rRNA from 1 species